rnacentral:rRNA from 1 species
GACGAACGCUGGCGGCGUGCUUAACACAUGCAAGUCGAACGGUAAGGCCCUUCGGGGUACACGAGUGGCGAACGGGUGAGUAACACGGGGGUGAUCUGCCCUGCACUUCGGGAUAAGCCUGGGAAACUGGGUCUAAUACCGGAUAGGACCACUGCCUGCAUGGGUGGUGGUGGAAAGCUUUUGCGGUGUGGGAUGGGCCCGCGGCCUAUCAGCUUGUUGGUGGGGUGAUGGCCUACCAAGGCGACAACGGGUAGCCGGCCUGAGAGGGUGACCGGCCACACUGGGACUGAGAUACGGCCCAGACUCCUACGGGAGGCAGCAGUGGGGAAUAUUGCACAAUGGGCGCAAGCCUGAUGCAGCGACGCCGCGUGAGGGAUGACGGCCUUCGGGUUGUAAACCUCUUUCAGCACCGACGAAGCGCAAGUGACGGUAGGUGCAGAAGAAGGACCGGCCAACUACGUGCCAGCCGCCGCCGUAA